rnacentral:tRNA from 1 species
GCGCCCGUAGCUCAAUUGGAUAGAGUCCGCGGCUUCUACCCGCGUUGUUGCAGGUUCGAGUCCUGCCGGGCGCG